rnacentral:rRNA from 1 species
AGUGGCGGACGGGUGAGUAACGCGUAAGAAUUUGCCUUUAGGAGGGGGAUAACAACUGGAAACGGUUGCUAAUACCCCAUAUGCUUUCGAGUGAAAUGGAUUUCCGCCUAAAGAGAAGCUUGCGGCUGAUUAGCUUGUUGGUGAGGUAAUGGCUCACCAAGGCGACGAUCAGUAUCUGGUUUGAGAGGACGAUCAGACACACUGGAACUGAGACACGGUCCAGACUCCUACGGGAGGCAGCAGUGGGGAAUUUUCCGCAAUGGGCGAAAGCCUGACGGAGCAAUACCGCGUGAGGGAUGAAGGCCUAUGGGUUGUAAACCUCUUUUUUCAGGGAGGAACAAAAUGACGUGUACCUGAAGAAUAAGCAUCGGCUAACUCCGUGCCAGCAGCCGCGGUAAGACGGGGGAUGCAAGUGUUAUCCGGAAUCACUGGGCGUAAAGCGUCUGUAGGUGGUUAAGUAAGUCAACUGUUAAAUCUUGAGGCUUAACCUCAAAAUCGCAGUCGAAACUGCUUGACUAGAGUAUAGUAGGGGUAAAGGGAAUUUCCAGUGGAGCGGUGAAAUGCGUAGAUAUUGGAAAGAACACCGAUGGCGAAGGCACUUUACUGGGCUAUUACUAACACUGAGAGACGAAAGCUAGGGUAGCAAAUGGGAUUAGAUACCCCAGUAGUCCUAGCUGUAAACAAUGGAUACUAGAUGUUG